rnacentral:rRNA from 1 species
UACGUAGGGGGCAAGCGUUGUCCGGAAUUAUUGGGCGUAAAGAGCUCGUAGGCGGUUUGUUGCGUCGGCUGUGAAAUCCCGAGGCUCAACCUCGGGUCUGCAGUCGAUACGAGCAAACUAGAGUGUUGCAGGGGAGACUGGAAUUCCUGGUGUAGCGGUGAAAUGCGCAGAUAUCAGGAGGAACACCGGUGGCGAAGGCGGGUCUCUGGGCAACAACUGACGCUGAGGGACGAAAGCUAGGGGAGCGAAUGGG